AGCGAACGCUGGCGGCAGGCCUAACACAUGCAAGUCGAACGAACCUUUCGGGGUUAGUGGCGGACGGGUGAGUAACACGUGGGAACGUGCCUUUAGGUUCGGAAUAACUCAGGGAAACUUGUGCUAAUACCGAAUGUGCCCUUCGGGGGAAAGAUUUAUCGCCUUUACAGCGGCCCGCGUCUGAUUAGCUAGUUGGUUGAGGUAAUGGCUCACCAAGGCGACGAUCAGUAGCUGGUCUGAGAGGAUGAUCAGCCACAUUGGGACUGAGACACGGCCCAAACUCCUACGGGAGGCAGCAGUGGGGAAUCUUGCGCAAUGGGCGAAAGCCUGACGCAGCCAUGCCGCGUGAAUGAUGAAGGUCUUAGGAUUGUAAAAUUCUUUCACCGGGGACGAUAAUGACGGUACCCGGAGAAGAAGCCCCGGCUAACUUCGUG
rnacentral:rRNA from 1 species